CCUACGGGAGGCAGCAGUGGGGAAUAUUGGACAAUGGGCGAAAGCCUGAUCCAGCAAUGCCGCGUGAGUGAUGAAGGCCUUAGGGUCGUAAAGCUCUUUUACCAGGGAUGAUAAUGACAGUACCUGGAGAAUAAGCUCCGGCUAACUCCGUGCCAGCAGCCGCGGUAAUACGGAGGGAGCUAGCGUUGUUCGGAAUUACUGGGCGUAAAGCGUGCGUAGGCGGUUAUUCAAGUCAGAGGUGAAAGCCCGGGGCUCAACCCCGGAACGGCCUUUGAAACUAGAUAACUAGAAUCUUGGAGAGGUCAGUGGAAUUCCGAGUGUAGAGGUGAGAUUCGUAGAUAUUCGGAAGAACACCAGUGGCGAAGGCGACUGACUGGACAAGUAUUGACGCUGAGGUACGAAAGCGUGGGGAGCAAACAGGAUUAGAUACCCUGGUAGUCCACGCCGUAAACGAUGAUAACUAGCUGUCCGGACACUUGGUGUUUGGGUGGCGCAGCUAACGCAUUAAGUUAUCCGCCUGGGGAGUACGGUCGCAAGNUUAAAACUUAAAUGAAUUGA
rnacentral:rRNA from 1 species